UACGUAGGGGGCUAGCGUUGUCCGGAAUCAUUGGGCGUAAAGCGCGUGUAGGCGGUCCGGUAAGUCCGCUGUGAAAGUCGGGGGCUCAACCCUCGAAUGCCGGUGGAUACUGUCGGGCUAGAGUGCGGAAGAGGAGAGUGGAAUUCCUGGUGUAGCGGUGAAAUGCGCAGAUAUCAGGAGGAACACCUAUUGCGAAGGCAGCUCGCUGGGACGUAACUGACGCUGAGACGCGAAAGCGUGGGGAGCAAACAGG
rnacentral:rRNA from 1 species